AACGAACGCUGGCGGCGUGCUUAACACAUGCAAGUCGAGCGGGAAAGUUUCCUUCGGGAAGCGAGUACAGCGGCAGACGGGUGAGUACAACGUAGGUAACCUACCCUCGAGACCGGGAUAACCUGUCGAAAGACGGGCUAAUACCGGAUAAGACCACAAGGGCUGCGGCCUUUGAGGUAAAAGAUGGCCUCUGCUUGCAAGCUAUCACUUGGGGGAUCGGGGCCUGCGCGCCAUUUAGCAGUUGGUGAGGUAACGGCUCACCAAGGCAAAGAUGGCUAGCUGGUCUGAGAGGAUGGCCAGCCACACUGGGACUGAGACACGCCCAGACUCCUACGGGAGGCAGCAGUGGGGAAUAUUGCGCAAUGGGCGAAAGCCUGACGCAGCGACGCCG
rnacentral:rRNA from 1 species